GACGAACGCUGGCGGCGUGCUUAACACAUGCAAGUCGAACGGUGAAGCGCCUUCCUUUUUGGUGGGUGUGGAUGAGUGGCGAAUGGGUGAGUAACACGUGAGUAACCUGCCCCCUUCUUCUGGAUAACCGCAUGAAAGUGUGGCUAAUACGGGAUAUUCUGGGUCUGUCGCAUGAUGGGUCUGGGAAAGAUAUUGUUUCGGUGGGGGAUGGGCUCGCGGCCUAUCAGCUUGUUGGUGGGGUGAUGGCCUACCAAGGCGGUGACGGGUAGCCGGCCUGAGAGGGUGGACGGUCACACGGGGACUGAGACACGGCCCAGACUCCUACGGGAGGCAGCAGUGGGGAAUAUUGCACAAUGGGCGCAAGCCUGAUGCAGCGACGCCGCGUGAGGGAUGGAGGCCUUCGGGUUGUGAACCUCUUUCGCCAGUGAAGCAGGCCUGCCUCGUUUGUGGGUGGGUUGACGGUAGCUGGAUAAGAAGCGCCGGCUAACUACGUG
rnacentral:rRNA from 1 species